rnacentral:rRNA from 1 species
UGUCUUUAAGAAAUUUGUUUAAAGUCUAAUCUGCUCACUGAUAAUUUAAAGAGCCGCAGUAUAUUGACUGUGCAAAGGUAGCAUAAUCAAUAGUUUUUUAAUUGAAAACUGGAAUGAAAGAUUGAAUGAUAAAUUAACUUUCUUAAUUUUAAAAAAUGAAUUUAAAAUUUAAGUUAAAAUUCUUAAAUGAUUUUAAAAGACGAGAAGACCCUAUAGAUUUUUAUUAAUUUAAAUAAUUAAUAUAAAUAAUUAUUUUAUUUAAUUUAAUUGGGGUGAUUUUGUAAUAUAAAAAACUUAAUUUUUUUUAACCAUAAAUAAUUGAAUCUUUUGAUUUAAAAUUUUUAGAUUAAAAUUAAAUUACCUUAGGGAUAACAGCGUAAUAUUAUUUAAGAGUUGAUAUCUAUAAUAAUGCUUGCGACCUCGAUGUUGAAUUAAGAAAUAUAUUGGAGUAGAAAUUAAUAUUAAUUAGUCUGUUCGACUAUUAAAUUCUUACGUG